rnacentral:rRNA from 1 species
CGCGUAGGCGGUUUGGUCAGUCGGAUGUGAAAGCCCCGGGCUUAACCUGGGAAUUGCAUUCGAUACUGCCAGACUAGAGUGUAGUAGAGGGAAGCGGAAUUCCAGGUGUAGCGGUGAGAUGCGUAGAUAUCUGGAGGAACAUCAGUGGCGAAGGCGGCUUCCUGGACUAACACUGACGCUGAGGUGCGAAAGCGUGGGGAGCAAACA